rnacentral:tmRNA from 1 species
GGGGCUGUCACGGUUUCGACAGGUUGGCGAACGUUGCACUGUGAUACAGGUCGAGAGUGAGUCCACUCUCGUAAAUCAAGGCUCAAAACAAAUAGAUGCAAACAACAUCGUUUCCUUUGCUCGUAAGUCGGCACCUGUUGCUGCUUAAAAAACCUAAACUCUAGGUCCGAGCGCCACCAAGCUGACUCCGUUAAAGUUUGCUGGCAUUAACCCCAACGGAUGCGCUGAGGGAAUUUUCUCUGAUUACAACUCAGCUAAGACUUAAUUAGAGCAUCCUACCAGUUGGGAUAAUAACUGGAUCCUGUUCUGAGGGUUAGAAGAACUAAGCCUGUGAAUGAAUAGUGCAUUAAUACCCAAUUUGGACACGGGUUCGACUCCCGUCAGCUCCAUUA